CAUAGGAUUCAAGGGAAAUUGAAGUAUCUCCUUAUAAAGAGACUGAGAAUUUCUCUUCUCAAAACAACUAUGAAAGCUAUGAGGGGCAGGAUUUACUGUCUCAUUUGUCAAAUAAGGAAACUGAGUCCUAGAAAAGUUAAGAGAUUUGUCCAUGGUAUCUUGGCUAAAGUGGUUUGGGAUUCGGUGCCACUAAAAAGAUACUUAGUAGAGAAAAGAACCUACACAUCUUGGAAUGACAUCAGGGCCAUUUCUGGUCACUGAGAAGUGAUUCCAUGUAGAUCCAGGUUGCCAGGGAGGAAUGAACAUGUGGUACACAUGUGGACGGGACAAGCCCAUGUGAGAAAAUAAGGGCCUCCCCCAUGAUUGCUGGAGACUCUCUCGGGUCUGAGCUGGUCAGUGUGUGCAUGCAUGCUCGGUCGGGUCAGACUCUUUGUGAGCCCGUGGACUAUAGCCCACCAGGGUCCUCUGUCCAUGGGAUUUUCCAGGCAAGAAUUCUGGAGCAGGUUGCCAUGCCCUCCUCUAGGGGAUCUUCCUGACCCAGGGAUCAAACCCGCAUGUCCCGCAUCUCCUGCAUUGGCAGGCAGAUUCUUUACUGCUGAGCCACUGGGGAAGCCCUAACCUGGUCAGUAGACAGGUUAAACUCUCCACGUGUCACAUCAUCAUAGUCUCUUAAAUCUGGAAACACUCCUGGCUGCAGGAAUGACCUCAGCAGAGAGGCACAAGGAGGACAAAGGCACCUUCAGCAAGGAACUGCCAGCCAGUGACCAGAGGGGUCUCAGCAGAGCUCAGUGGGCUUCAUUCCACUGGCACCAGCAUCACUGCCUUCCCCAAGGGCAAGCCUGUGGAGAGCUUCGUUGGUAGAAAGAAACAUUCUCCUUGUCCCCUAUCCCCUCUGAGAUUCUGAAAAGCAAACCUGUACCCACUUGGCAUCACCCCACUAAACUCCCUCUCAUCUCCUCGCACUGGGUCAGGAACUUUGUGCAAAGAAGGGAAAGUUAAGAUUGUAUGUACAAACUGUUCAUAACUCUGAAGGAAGCAGUCAUCUAGGACCGCCUCAGAUAAGAGAUCUAGAACCAUCCUGUUCAACCUAACAGCACGGAACACCAGACGAAGGGAAACCCCUGAAGAAUGUCCUGAAUGAUGGGCUCCUUGGGAUGGGACCAACAAGCUCCAGAAUGACAGCAGCUUAAAAGGAAGACACCACAUCAGAGAGGAAAGGCAGCAGAAAAGGACAAAGUGCCAGAGAAGCCUUUGGGAGGGCGGAGCUGGAAGAAAGCCUCUUAGAAUCGGCAAGG
ensembl:lncRNA